rnacentral:rRNA from 1 species
UUUCCGGUUGAUCCUGCCGGAGGCUACCGCUAUUGGAGUCGAUUAAGCCAUGCGAGUCGAGAGUCUUAGGGACUCGGCGUACCGCUCAGUAACACGUGGGUAACCUGCCCUAUGCUGGGGAAUAACCUCGGGAAACUGAGAAUAAUGCCCCAUAGUCCACCAUGCCUGGAACGGUUGGUGGAUCAAAGCCCCGGCGGCAUAGGAUGGGCCUGCGGCGUAUCAGGUUGUAGGGGGUGUAACGUACCCUCUAGCCAUCAACGCGUACGGGUGUUGGGAGACAUAGCCCGGAGAUGGAUUCUGAGACACGAAUCCAGACCCUACGGGGUGCAGCAGGCGCGAAAACUUGGCAAUGCGAGAAAUCGUGACCAGCGAACUCCAAGUGGCUGGGGUAAGACCCAGUCUUUUCUUGACUCUUCAAAGGUCUUGGAAUAAGGGGUGGGUAAGGACGGUGCCAGCCGCCGCGGUAAUACCGGCGCCUCAAGUGGUAGUCGAUUUUAUUGGGCCUAAAACGUCCGUCGCCUGUUUGGUACAUUCGUGGGUAAAUCAACCAGCUCAACUGGUUGAAUUCUGCGAGCACGGCCAGACUGGGACCGGAGAGGUG